rnacentral:rRNA from 1 species
CCCGCACAAGCGGUGGAGUAUGUGGUUUAAUUCGAUGCAACGCGAAGAACCUUACCUGGUCUUGACAUCCCGGAGACCCUUAGGAAACUAGGGGUGCUUCCAUCUGGAAGAAUCUGGAGACAGGUGCUGCAUGGCUGUCGUCAGCUCGUGUCGUGAGAUGUUGGGUUAAGUCCCGCAGCGAGCGCAACCCCUACCUUUAGUUGCCAUCAGGUUAAGCUGGGGACUCUAAAGGAACUGCCUACGCAAGUAGUGAGGAAGGCGGGGAUGACGUCAAAUCAGCACGGCCCUUACGUCCAGGGCUACACACGUGCUACAAUGGCCGAUACAGAGGGCAGCUACCUGGUGACAGGAUGCAAAUCUCCAAAGUCGGUCUCAGUUCGGAUCGGAGUCUGCAACCCGACUCCGUGAAGUUGGAUUCGCUAGUAAUCGCGCAUCAGCCAUGGCGCGGUGAAUACGUUCCCGGGCCUU